AGAGAGAGUAGGCAACUUUUCCUUUCUUUGAGUUGGGCAAAACCGUGAGAGAGAAAGAGAGAGAGAGCUUUGUGCUAAAGGGUUUUGAAGGAAAUUCAAGAAAGGAAAAUGGAAGAUCAUCAAGAAACUAUCAAAUUUAAGAUUAAAGGUGGACGUCCGAAGCCUUAUAUCGACUUAACCCACUGUGAGCGUUCUGGAGAUCAGGCCUGAAGACUUUUGUCUGGACUUCUGUUUUGUAAAGCCAACCAUUGCGCCUCUCGUGGAGGUUCCGAAUAUGUCAUGUGUUCAAGCCCUUGUGAUUGACUUAACUUUUGUUUUCUCUGUUAAGGUUUAAGACAACUUUUUGUAUAUGGGGUUUAAUCUCUUCUUACUUGACUAUAAUGUAUGUGGGUAUAAUGUAAGAAUGGCUUUUGGACAUUGUACAUAAAGUUAAAAAUCUCUAUUUCAUA